GUGGGGAAUCUUGCGCAAUGGGCGAAAGCCUGACGCAGCCAUGCCGCGUGAAUGAUGAAGGUCUUAGGAUUGUAAAAUUCUUUCACCGGGGACGAUAAUGACGGUACCCGGAGAAGAAGCUCCGGCUAACUUCGUGCCAGCAGCCGCGGUAAUACGAAGGGGGCUAGCGUUGCUCGGAAUUACUGGGCGUAAAGGGCGCGUAGGCGGACAGCUUAGUCAGAGGUGAAAGCCCAGGGCUCAACCUUGGAAUUGCCUUUGAUACUGGCUGUCUUGAGUUUGGGAGAGGUGGGUGGAACUCCGAGUGUAGAGGUGAAAUUCGUAGAUAUUCGGAAGAACACCAGUGGCGAAGGCGACUCACUGGCCCAAUACUGACGCUGAGGCGCGAAAGCGUGGGGAGCAAACAGGAUUAGAAACCCUAGUAGUCC
rnacentral:rRNA from 1 species